rnacentral:lncRNA from 10 species
CCCUGCUUGCACUCAUUUUCUUUCCUGCUGGCCUGUGAAGCAGUGCCUUCCACCAUAAUUACUGAGUGACAGCAUUGGACAAAGAUGUGUGGAGCAGGAUGGUAGCUGGAGGAGUGCCAGAGAGAGACCCGGGAUCUCACCAAGGUUACAGUGUCUGUGGCUUUGCGAAGAUUCCUCCUAAAAUUCUGCUCAUGGAAGGAUUUCAAAGAAAGACUGAGUGAACUUGUUCCUGAGAAUGCUUGAAGGGACGGGGAAACAUUAAAAAAUAAAGACUGGGUUAUUGGAAAUUGAUGGUGGUGUUGGUGGGGGUUGUUAAGAACUACCGUUAUUUACACACUGAUGAACUUGUGACCUCAUCUAUAUUCACAGGCUGCUGGUCUCUGAGCUAUUGAGUCCACCUACUUAUAGGGAUGUUCUUUAUAUUGGGGUGAAUGUUUUGCUUGUGAUAUAUCACUCUGUAUUAGUUUCCUAUUGCUGAUUUAACAAAUUAGCACAAACUUAGUGACCUCAAACACACACACACAUACACACAAACUCACACACACAUUUAUUAUCUUACAAUUCU